rnacentral:other from 1 species
CUUACCCUGCGGUGUUGGUAAUGGAAGAUUGAUUUGAAAAAACCGAUACGCUCUUUUCAGGGAAGCCGUGAACUUGUUGGAUCAAAAAUGCCUAUUCGCUAGGACUUUUGGACACUUGCAAAGGCUGCCCACGUGGCUUUAAAGGGUUUAUUCAAACGCUUUCAUACCGCACAUGUGGAGCAACG